UACGUAGGGUGCGAGCGUUAAUCGGAAUUACUGGGCGUAAAGCGUGCGCAGGCGGUUUUGUAAGUCAGAUGUGAAAUCCCCGGGCUCAACCUGGGAAUUGCAUUUGUGACUGCACGGCUAGAGUGUGUCAGAGGGGGGUAGAAUUCCACGUGUAGCAGUGAAAUGCGUAGAGAUGUGGAGGAAUACCGAUGGCGAAGGCAGCCCCCUGGGAUAACACUGACGCUCAUGCACGAAAGCGUAGGGAGCAAACAGG
rnacentral:rRNA from 1 species